GCUGCUGUGGAUCAUGGUAGAUCGUCCUCACCUAAUUGCUAUUCGGUACAAACCAACCGCAUCUUCGGAGGGAAGGAGUGGGUUCGACUCCCACCAGCGGCA